CUCUGGAGGAGUCCACGCAGAAUCCUUUUUAUUAUAGCGGUGGUAGGAAGGAUUCUGUGGGAAUUCCCAACUCCUGUGGUGCACAGUUGAAGCCCGGACAAAUGAGCUUUGAUUAUAAUUUUCUAUGCACACAGAACUAGAAAUAUAACUGGUCACAAAAUCAGGCAAAAACCAGACAGAUAAAAAGUGCUACUAUAACUACAAAAAUGCACAAGUGAUCUACCAGAUAACCAGAAGUGGGUGGUCAAAAGAAAUCACUAUAAAAAAGAGCAUAUGGCACUGGAGAGACUCAAAUAGCAAAUGCAGACUAAUGGGUACAGCUGUGAUGCAGAGAAGUCGCUCAGGUACAUUCACCCAUCUGUCGACGCAGACCUAGCAUAACAUCGGGCAGCCCCCUCCAGCAAAAAAGAACAGUUCUGAAAAUUGGAAGGUUUCUUAAACUGUAGUUCGAAUUGUAUUCACCUUUCACAUUUUAAUUCAACAAAGGUUUUGUUUUCAGACUAAAAUGACAAUAAAAGACUCAUUGUUUCCAUUAAGUAUUAACAUGUGCAGCAAAAAGAGACAUUUGGAUACCUUAUUAUGGGCAUGAUUCCCACCUCAUCUGCACCGGUACACAGUUGCUUUGAUUUAUGGAUUUAUUCCUGAUCUGCACUGGAAUAAGUGUGAUCCAAAUCUGGUGCUAUCUGUUCCAUAGUUGCGCAUAUUGGUGAUUACCCAUGUACGUGCGUGUCCUCUUGACUUCAACCAUCAUGACUGUGGUUUUGUGGGUGUUCCAUUGUUCAUUUAGCUGUGAUUAUUUUGGAAUCAGAUUGCUAGCAGAACCCUUUUUAUAUAGUGCAAAUAGACUGGGUUACAGAUUUACUGCAUCAAACAAUUUUCUUCGCUAUAUUUAUUCGCUUAAAUGUUGCUUUUCUCUAUUUCCCUAUUUAUUUUGUAUUGU